rnacentral:rRNA from 1 species
UACGGAGGGUGCAAGCGUUAUCCGGAUUUACUGGGUUUAAAGGGUGCGUAGGUGGGUCUGUAAGUCAGUGGUGAAAUCUCCGAGCUUAACUCGGAAACUGCCAUUGAUACUAUAGGUCUUGAAUUAUCUGGAGGUAAGCGGAAUAUGUCAUGUAGCGGUGAAAUGCUUAGAUAUGACAUAGAACACCAAUCGCGAAGGCAGCUUACUACGGAUAUAUUGACACUGAGGCACGAAAGCGUGGGGAUCAAACAGG